UACGUAGGGUGCAAGGCGUUGUCCGGAAUUAUUGGGCGUAAAGAGCUCGUAGGCGGUCUGUCGCGUCGGCUGUGAAAACCCGGGGCUCAACCCCGGGCCUGCAGUCGAUACGGGCAGACUAGAGUGCGGUAGGGGAGACUGGAAUUCCUGGUGUGCGGUGAAAUGCGCAGAUAUCAGGAGGAACACCGGUGGCGAAGGCGGGUCUCUGGGCCGAACUGACGCUGAGGAGCGAAAGCGUGGGGAGCGAACGGG
rnacentral:rRNA from 1 species